CACGAUAACACGUAAACAGAAAACGGAGGUCUGCUAGUGAGGUAUUGGGGCAACUUAACUAAAUUAGGAGGGAGAACGAAUUAAAGAGAGAGAGAGAGAGAGAGAGAGAGAGAGAGAGAGAGAGAGAGAGAGAGAGAGAGAGAGAGAGAGAGAGAGAGAGAGAGAGAGAGAGAGAGA